UCAGAAAGACGAUGUCACUUACCUACAAUUAUUUGAGUGGGAGCUUCCGAUAAAAAAUUUCGGUUCGAGAGAGAAGUUCACUGUGUUUCGACCAGAGAGAGAGAUCUCAAAAUUUUGUUUUAGGGUGGGAGUGCUCACAUCCCCUAUUUAAAUUCUUAUAACAUAAUAUUAUAUUGUUUUCUCACGCUCUACCUCAUACCUGAGGUGUCGCGUUAAAAGCAGACUUUUAUCGUACGAAAUCCACGUCUGCUAAAGGACGCUGCCAGCUGCAAGCAGCAGGAGGCAAAUGCGGGCAAAGGAAAAAGUAAAGGCAAAGCAAAAGUUAAUCCAAAGUAAAAGUUUUU
rnacentral:lncRNA from 1 species